rnacentral:snoRNA from 1 species
GAUGGCCUAAUGAUGAUGCUCUUUUUGCCGUUUACCCAUCUGAUUUUUUUGAUGAGAACAUCUGAAUCUGAUGUGCCAUC